rnacentral:rRNA from 1 species
UGGCUGUCGUCAGCUCGUGUUGUGAAUGUUGGUUAGUCCCGCAACGAGCGCAACCCUUAUCCUUUGUUGCCAGCGAGUAAUGUCGGGAACUCAAAGGAGACUGCCGGUGAUAAACCGGAGGAAGGUGGGAUGACGUCAAAUCAUCAUGCCCCUUAUGACCUGGGCUACACACGUGCUACAAUGGUUGGUACAACGAGUUGCGAGUCGGUGACGGCGAGCUAAUCUCUUAAAGCCAAUCUCAGUUCGGAUUGUAGGCUGCAACUCGCCUACAUGAAGUCGGAAUCGCUAGUAAUCGCGGAUCAGCACGCCCGCGGUCGAAUACGUUCCCGGGCCUU